rnacentral:piRNA from 1 species
UAGGUCCUCUCCUAUAUAAAA